rnacentral:rRNA from 1 species
AUUGAACGCUGGCGGCAGGCUUAACACAUGCAAGUCGAGCGGGGUGAUGGUGCUUGCACUAUCACUUAGCGGCGGACGGGUGAGUAAUGCUUAGGAAUCUGCCUAUUAGUGAGGGACAACAUCUCGAAAGGGAUGCUAAUACCGCAUACGUCCUACGGGAGAAAGCAGGGGAUCACUUGUGACCUUGCGCUAAUAGAUGAGCCUAAGUCGGAUUAGCUAGUUGGUGGGGUAAAGGCCUACCAAGGCGACGAUCUGUAGCGGGUCUGAGAGGAUGAUCCGCCACACUGGGACUGAGACACGGCCCAGACUCCUACGGGAGGCAGCAGUGGGGAAUAUUGGACAAUGGGGGGAACCCUGAUCCAGCCAUGCCGCGUGUGUGAAGAAGGCCUUAUGGUUGUAAAGCACUUUAGGCGAGGGGGAGGCUCUUUUGGUUAAUACCCAAGAUGAGUGGACGUUACUCGCAGAAUAAGCACCGGCUAACUCUGUGCCAGCCGCCGCCGUAA